UGAAGCAGGAGAAGAGCAGCCCUUGGUAUCUGGAAGCCUGCCUGGCCCUACGGAUUAGACCUUGCUGUUCUCUUGCUGAAUAUGGACAAUAUUCCAGAACUUCGACAUUAGGACUGCAAGCCCCCAGUAGAGCUCUCUCCGCCCUGGUCACCAUGCCCAUGGGAUUUGCCUACCAGAACAAGCCCCACUCCAGCUUUCUUCUCUAACACUGGGCUUGUCACCUUGAGCCAGGUCCAGCGACUUCUGGGAAAUAAACAGGUAGUUGAGAGCAGAUCGUGAACGCAAGCUCUUUUCAGAUCGACAGCGCUCCAGUUUGGGCUGCUGUGCCACGUAUGCACCCAUGGUAGGCAGUUGCCUGUGGUUACCUACAUCAGUUUCACCCUUCUUGAGUUUCCGUUAGCUGAGGUUAACCUCCGUCAGGAAGUGGAUGAUCUUCCUUCUGACUUAUUGUAAGAAAGGAGGUCAGUAGUAGCCUAAUACUACGUCACAGUGCCUGAGUCAUUCGCCUCCCUCCAUCUCAUGAUGUAGCCAUGUUAUCAUUUCACACCAUCACUAGAAGAAGGAAACCAGAUUCUCUGUCAUCUUCCACAUACAAGAGACCAGAUUGUUGGACCAUAUAAUCAAAGCCAGGCUUCCAGUGAAGUCAUAAAGAAUGGUGGCCAAUGCAAACUCACCCAGAAACAAGAUAUCAAAAAAGAAACAGAAAAAGAGAAAUAGUGAGUGAGACUUAAAGCAUUAUUGUGGCACAAGAUACCCCUCCUUCCCGCCCAGGAGCUGGAAGACUUGCCUUGACAUAGGUCUUCUGUGUGGUAUGCCUAUUUGGCAGUGCAGUUUGGUUGGUGCUCAUGAACGACACCCCAGGAUCUCCCAGUGAAACCUCCAAAUCCUUUGUGAAACCUCCCACUGUGGUUUUUUAAAUGAUAUUUUGAAUUUCCCAUGCAUUAUCCAUGGCCAUGGUUUCAAAAUCCCAGCGUUAUGUGUGCCUCCCACAGGAAACAGUUUUCAACUCACUGCUUUAAGAACAUUCCCCAGAACAGUUUUCCAAGCUUGAGAAUAGGAUGAAGAAUUAUUGAAAAGGUCCAUCAGCACAUAUACAUAUUGACUGUGAACUAAGUAAUAGAAUUCACACAUGAAUUAAAUAAUACUUUAUAAGUCUUU